AUGAUGGUGGCGCAGUGGUUAAUUGUGCUUGACUUGAGAUCGAAAGGUCCUGAGUUCAAGUCCUGCCAUUGCU